rnacentral:rRNA from 1 species
GAUGAACGCUGGCGGCGUGCCUAAUACAUGCAAGUCGAGCGAACAGACGAGGAGCUUGCUCCUCUGACGUUAGCGGCGGACGGGUGAGUAACACGUGGAUAACCUACCUAUAAGACUGGGAUAACUUCGGGAAACCGGAGCUAAUACCGGAUAAUAUAUUGAACCGCAUGGUUCAAUAGUGAAAGACGGUUUUGCUGUCACUUAUAGAUGGAUCCGCGCCGCAUUAGCUAGUUGGUAAGGUAACGGCUUACCAAGGCAACGAUGCGUAGCCGACCUGAGAGGGUGAUCGGCCACAAUGGAACUGAGACACGGUCCAGACUCCUAAGGGAGGCAGCAGUAGGGAAUCUUCCGCAAUGGGCGAAAGCCUGACGGAGCAACGCCGCGUGAGUGAUGAAGGUCUUCGGAUCGUAAAACUCUGUUAUUAGGGAAGAACAAAUGUGUAAGUAACUAUGCACGUCUUGACGGUACCUAAUCAGAAAGCCACGGCUAACUACGUG